ensembl:lncRNA junctional sarcoplasmic reticulum protein 1
GGGAGGGAGAAGGGGCUUUGAUUGGCUGCGCCUGCUGCGGGUGGGCUGAGGCUGGCCUGGUUCGGCCGGGAGGUUUCAGYGCGGCGCCGCAGCCUUCACUCCACUCAGAGGCGCCGGUUCGAGCCCGGCGUCUGCGCCCCCGCCUCGCUGAGGAACUCUGAGCACAUGAAUAUUCCAUUGAUUGGUUCCACUUUGCACAAGAAUAAGGGUCUAAAUCCCCACCCACCUUCUGUGUCCUGAAACUACACUGACUAUGAUGGAACAAAGUGUAUUGCCAAAAGAAAACAUUGUCUGUUCUCCUGCAGCUUAGAUGACAAGCCUAGCCUGGCCAGCAGCCAGUUACUUGUCUGGGAGUCAUGGUUUGCAAGUGUUUGUGAUCAGAYGACAAGAAAGUAAUGCUUAAAAAGAUUUGCUGGACCUGAAACACUCAUAAGACUUGACCGUUCUGAAGCCCUGCACAUUGAUGAUAUAGUUCCAUUGCUGCUUUUAUUUAGAAAAGGAAAGAUCAGCAGUUCUGGUGUUUAGCUAAUUAAAAGUUAACUAAAUAGCAGGGCUGCAAACAUUAGUGCAUCUGGGUUUUUUUCCACCACCGAGAAGGAGCUUUUUGAGAGUGGUCUGCUGCAGGCUUCACUGACUGUUUCCACGUUCUAGAGGAGUAACAAAGCUGCAGUGAAGAUGAAUGGACAAAAUUGCAGUGCUCCGGAGAAAAUCACAUUGGCUGUCCCCAUGUUUCCUAAGUAACCGGGCCCUAGGGGAGCUGUUUAUUCCUGAGUGUCCCGCUGCGUAUGCCGAUGUGCUGGGGAGCAGCGACAGAGCGAAUAGCAGGUCCCAUGGCCUAGAGAAGGAGAGGUCCCGACUUGGUGUCUCCGAGGAGGAUCAAGACGAGCGGGAGUUGAGCAUGCCAGAACCAGCGCCCCUCGGCGCAGACAAGAAAGCGGUGGAGAAGAAGCGUGCAGAGAAGGUGGGAGCAAAAGGCAGCACCUCCGUGCCCCCAGUCCCCAAGAGCCUCCCUGUGAAGAGGACAGUGGAGCCCCAAAGCCUUGACCCCAUGGAGGAGCCGCUCAUCUGGGAAGGGCUCACCCUCAACAAAUGCAUCCUCGUGGCCUCCUUCGUCGCCCUGCUCAGCGUCAGCUUCCAGGUGCUCCAAGCGCCUUGCUCUAGGGAAGGAAUUAGCAGUGACAGACAGGCCCCUCCACCUCCACCCCUUCACGAGGUCAUUGACACCAAGGAGGACAUCCCAGAAGUGGUGGCUGCCCCACCAGUCCAACCCGAGAGCAGCCUGUUCGAGGACAGUGAUGGUGACGAUGACAGGGAAGAUGACAGUGAAGCUGACAGCAACCUGGCCGAGCCGUGGAUCUUCAAGAAAUGGUUUGGCCGCUUGGAGCAAGAGGACGAAGAGGAAGAACCCGAAGCCGAACCUGAGGAGCCACCAGCCAAGGUCGAGGUGAGGAAGAGCCGAGAGAAGCCCAGAGGCCCGGAGAGGAAAGAAGAGAAGCCCAGGGAAAGUCGUGCAGCCCAGGUGGAGAAGAGCAGCCGGAAGGAGACGCGACCCAAGGACAGAGCCCCUGAGGACAAGGCUGGCAGAACCCCAAGGGCACCCAAGGAGCCGGAGCAGCAGCCCUACAAGAAGCGGGGCCGGGAGGGCAAGGAGGGCAGGCGAGAAGGGAGGGAGCGUGACGAGCACAAGAAAGACGAGUGGAAGAGCCGCCCCGCCAAGGCUGACCGCGAGGACAACCGGAAGCGGGACUGGAGGCAGCAGCGAGGAGAGCAGAAGGGCAAGAAGCCCUGGGAGCAUCACACGUCUGCCCCGGGGAAGGACAGCACUGCCAGGCCCAGGGAAGGCAAGAAGCGUGACUGA